rnacentral:rRNA from 1 species
UCAAUAAGCGGAGGAAAAGAAACUAACAAGGAUUCCCCUAGUAACGGCGAGUGAAGAGGGAAGAGCCCAAGUUUGAAAGCUGGUGUUUGUAUUCAGGCAUCCGCAUUGUAAACUCGAGAAGUGUUAUCCGCGCCGGACCAGGUUCAAGUCCCUUGGAAUAGGGCAUCAUAGAGGGUGAAAGUCCCGUGCUUGAUCUGGAGUCCCCGGGGCUUUGUGAUGCGCUCUCAAAGAGUCGAGUUGUUUGGGAAUGCAGCUCAAAAUGGGUGGUAAAUGCCAUCUAAGGCUAAAUAUUGAGGAGAGACCGAUAGCGAACAAGUACCGUGAGGGAAAGAUGAAAAGAACUUUGGAAAGAGAGUUAAACAGUACGUGAAAUUGCCGGAAGGGAAGGGUAGGAAGUCAGACAUGCCUUUGCAAAUUCAGCCUUGUCUUUGGACUUGGUGCAUUUUUGUAAUGGUAGGCCAGUGUCGGUUUGUGUCGCCGGAUAUAGGUUUAGGGAAUGUGGCUUUGCCUUCGGGUAAAGUGUUAUAGCCCUUUACUGAGUACGGCGGUGUGGACUGAGGAACGCAGCGCACCCAUUAGGGCGGGCCUUCGGGCACCUUUGCGCUUAGGAUGCUGGCUUAAUGGCUUUCUGCCACCCCGUCUUGAAACAC